rnacentral:tRNA from 1 species
GGCACCAUAGCCAAGUGGUAAGGCAAAGGUCUGCAACACCUUGAUCUCCAGUCCGAAUCUGGAUGGUGCCUCCA